rnacentral:rRNA from 1 species
AUAGGGGAGCCGCAGGGAAACCGAGUCUUAACCGGGCGUUAAGUUGCAGGGUAUAGACCCGAAACCCGGUGAUCUAGCCAUGGGCAGGUUGAAGGUUGGGUAACACUAACUGGAGGACCGAACCGACUAAUGUUGAAAAAUUAGCGGAUGACCUGUGGCUGGGGGUGAAAGGCCAAUCAAACCGGGAGAUAGCUGGUUCUCCCCGAAAGCUAUUUAGGUAGCGCCUCGUGAAUUCAUCUCCGGGGGUAGAGCACUGUUUCGGCUAGGGGGUCAUCCCGACUUACCAACCCGAUGCAAACUGCGAAUACCGGAGAAUGUUAUCACGGGAGACACACGGCGGGUGCUAACGUCCGUCGUGAAGAGGGAAACAACCCAGACCGCCAGCUAAGGUCCCAAAGUCAUGGUUAAGUGGGAAACGAUGUGGGAAGGCCCAGACAGCCAGGAUGUUGGCUUAGAAGCAGCCAUCAUUUAAAGAAAGCGUAAUAGCUCACUGGUCGAGUCGGCCUGCGCGGAAGAUGUAACGGGGCUAAACCAUGCACCGAAGCUGCGGCAGCGAACGUAUCACCCAAGACAACUUUGCGGAGUUGACGAUUGACGGAGCGAAGCGACGUCAAAGCGUUCAUUAAAGUCGAGUUGGCUUAGGGAUACGUUCGUUGGGUAGGGGAGCGUUCUGUAAGCCUGUGAAGGUGUGCUGUGAGGCAUGCUGGAGGUAUCAGAAGUGCGAAUGCUGACAUAAGUAACGAUAAAGCGGGUGAAAAGCCCGCUCGCCGGAAGACCAAGGGUUCCUGUCCAACGUUAAUCGGGGCAGGGUGAGUCGACCCCUAAGGCGAGGCCGAAAGGCGUAGUCGAUGGGAAACGGGUUAAUAUUCCCGUACUUGGUGUUACUGCGAAGGGGGGACGGAGAAGGCUAUGUUGGCCGGGCGACGGUUGUCCCGGUUUAAGCGUGUAGGCUGGUUUUCCAGGCAAAUCCGGAAAAUCAAGGCUGAGGCGUGACGACGAGGCACUACGGUGCUGAAGCAACAAAUGCCCUGCUUCCAGGAAAAGCCUCUAAGCAUCAGGUAACAUCAAAUCGUACCCCAAACCGACACAGGUGGUCAGGUAGAGAAUACCAAGGCGCUUGAGAGAACUCGGGUGAAGGAACUAGGCAAAAUGGUGCCGUAACUUCGGGAGAAGGCACGCUGACAUGUAGGUGAAGUGAUUUACUCAUGGAGCUGAAGUCAGUCGAAGAUACCAGCUGGCUGCAACUGUUUAUUAAAAACACAGCACUGUGCAAACACGAAAGUGGACGUAUACGGUGUGACGCCUGCCCGGUGCCGGAAGGUUAAUUGAUGGGGUCAGCGCAAGCGAAGCUCCUGAUCGAAGCCCCGGUAAACGGCGGCCGUAACUAUAACGGUCCUAAGGUAGCGAAAUUCCUUGUCGGGUAAGUUCCGACCUGCACGAAUGGCGUAAUGAUGGCCAGGCUGUCUCCACCCGAGACUCAGUGAAAUUGAACUCGCUGUGAAGAUGCAGUGUACCCGCGGCAAGACGGAAAGACCCCGUGAACCUUUACUAUAGCUUGACACUGAACAUUGAGCCUUGAUGUGUAGGAUAGGUGGGAGGCUUUGAAGCGUGGACGCCAGUCUGCGUGGAGCCGACCUUGAAAUACCACCCUUUAAUGUUUGAUGUUCUAACGUGGACCCGU